rnacentral:rRNA from 1 species
UAUGGUCAAGUGAAGAAGCGCAUACGGUGGAUGCCUUGGCAGUCAGAGGCGAUGAAAGACGUGGUAGCCUGCGAAAAGCUUCGGGGAGUCGGCAAACAGACUUUGAUCCGGAGAUGUCUGAAUGGGGGAACCCAGCCAUCAUAAGAUGGUUAUCUUACGCUGAAUACAUAGGCGUAAGAGGCGAACCAGGGGAACUGAAACAUCUAAGUACCCUGAGGAAAAGAAAUCAACCGAGAUUCCCUUAGUAGUGGCGAGCGAACGGGGACUAGCCCUUAAGUGGCUUUGAGAUUAGCGGAACGCUCUGGAAAGUGCGGCCAUAGUGGGUGAUAGCCCUGUACGCGAAAAUCUCUUAGUCAUGAAAUCGAGUAGGACGGAGCACGAGAAACUUUGUCUGAAUAUGGGGGGACCAUCCUCCAAGGCUAAAUACUACUGACUGACCGAUAGUGAACUAGUACCGUGAGGGAAAGGCGAAAAGAACCCCGGAGAGGGGAGUGAAAUAGAUCCUGAAACCGUAUGCGUACAAGCAGUGGGAGCCCACUUUGUUGGGUGACUGCGUACCUUUUGUAUAAUGGGUCAGCGACUUAUUUUCAGUGGCGAGCUUAACCGAAUAGGGGAGGCGUAGCGAAAGCGAGUCUUAAUAGGGCGUCUAGUCGCUGGGAAUAGACCCGAAACCGGGCGAUCUAUCCAUGGGCAGGUUGAAGGUUGGGUAACACUAACUGGAGGACCGAACCGACUACCGUUGAAAAGUUAGCGGAUGACCUGUGGAUCGGAGUGAAAGGCUAAUCAAGCUCGGAGAUAGCUGGUUCUCCUCGAAAGCUAUUUAGGUAGCGCCUCAUGUAUCACUGUAGGGGGUAGAGCACUGUUUCGGCUAGGGGGUCAUCCCGACUUACCAAACCGAUGCAAACUCCGAAUACCUACAAGUGCCGAGCAUGGGAGACACACGGCGGGUGCUAACGUCCGUCGUGAAAAGGGAAACAACCCAGACCGUCAGCUAAGGUCCCAAAGUUAUGGUUAAGUGGGAAACGAUGUGGGAAGGCUUAGACAGCUAGGAGGUUGGCUUAGAAGCAGCCACCCUUUAAAGAAAGCGUAAUAGCUCACUAGUCGAGUCGGCCUGCGCGGAAGAUGUAACGGGGCUCAAACCAUACACCGAAGCUACGGGUAUCACGUAAGUGAUGCGGUAGAGGAGCGUUCUGUAAGCCUGUGAAGGUGAGUUGAGAAGCUUGCUGGAGGUAUCAGAAGUGCGAAUGCUGACAUGAGUAACGACAAUGGGUGUGAAAAACACCCACGCCGAAAGACCAAGGUUUCCUGCGCAACGUUAAUCGACGCAGGGUUAGUCGGUCCCUAAGGCGAGGCUGAAAAGCGUAGUCGAUGGAAAACAGGUUAAUAUUCCUGUACUUCUGGUUAUUGCGAUGGAGGGACGGAGAAGGCUAGGCCAGCUUGGCGUUGGUUGUCCAAGUUUAAGGUGGUAGGCUGGAAUCUUAGGUAAAUCCGGGAUUCUAAGGCCGAGAGCUGAUGACGAGCUAACUUUUAGUUAGCGAAGUGGUUGAUGCCAUGCUUCCAAGAAAAGCUUCUAAGCUUCAGGUAACCAGGAACCGUACCCCAAACCGACACAGGUGGUUGGGUAGAGAAUACCAAGGCGCUUGAGAGAACUCGGGUGAAGGAACUAGGCAAAAUGGCACCGUAACUUCGGGAGAAGGUGCGCCGGUGAGGGUGAAGGACUUGCUCCGUAAGCUCAUGCCGGUCGAAGAUACCAGGCCGCUGCGACUGUUUAUUAAAAACACAGCACUCUGCAAACACGAAAGUGGACGUAUAGGGUGUGACGCCUGCCCGGUGCCGGAAGGUUAAUUGAUGGGGUUAGCUAACGCGAAGCUCUUGAUCGAAGCCCCGGUAAACGGCGGCCGUAACUAUAACGGUCCUAAGGUAGCGAAAUUCCUUGUCGGGUAAGUUCCGACCUGCACGAAUGGCGUAACGAUGGCGGCGCUGUCUCCACCCGAGACUCAGUGAAAUUGAAAUCGCUGUGAAGAUGCAGUGUAUCCGCGGCUAGACGGAAAGACCCCGUGAACCUUUACUAUAGCUUUGCACUGGACUUUGAAUUUGCUUGUGUAGGAUAGGUGGGAGGCUUUGAAGCGUGGACGCCAGUCUGCGUGGAGCCAACCUUGAAAUACCACCCUGGCAACUUUGAGGUUCUAACUCAGGUCCGUUAUCCGGAUCGAGGACAGUGUAUGGUGGGUAGUUUGACUGGGGCGGUCUCCUCCUAAAGAGUAACGGAGGAGUACGAAGGUGCGCUCAGACCGGUCGGAAAUCGGUCGUAGAGUAUAAAGGCAAAAGCGCGCUUGACUGCGAGACAGACACGUCGAGCAGGUACGAAAGUAGGUCUUAGUGAUCCGGUGGUUCUGUAUGGAAGGGCCAUCGCUCAACGGAUAAAAGGUACUCCGGGGAUAACAGGCUGAUACCGCCCAAGAGUUCAUAUCGACGGCGGUGUUUGGCACCUCGAUGUCGGCUCAUCACAUCCUGGGGCUGAAGCCGGUCCCAAGGGUAUGGCUGUUCGCCAUUUAAAGUGGUACGCGAGCUGGGUUUAGAACGUCGUGAGACAGUUCGGUCCCUAUCUGCCGUGGACGUUUGAGAUUUGAGAGGGGCUGCUCCUAGUACGAGAGGACCGGAGUGGACGAACCUCUGGUGUUCCGGUUGUCACGCCAGUGGCAUUGCCGGGUAGCUAUGUUCGGAAUAGAUAACCGCUGAAAGCAUCUAAGCGGGAAACUAGCCUCAAGAUGAGAUCUCACUGGAACCUUGAGUUCCCUGAAGGGCCGUCGAAGACUACGACGUUGAUAGGUUGGGUGUGUAAGCGCUGUGAGGCGUUGAGCUAACCAAUACUAAUUGCCCGUGAGGCUUGACCAUA